rnacentral:rRNA from 1 species
UUCAAAUUUCUGCCCUAUCAACUUUCGAUGGUAGGAUAGUGGCCUACCAUGGUGGCAACGGGUAACGGGGAAUUAGGGUUCGAUUCCGGAGAGGGAGCCUGAGAAACGGCUACCACAUCCAAGGAAGGCAGCAGGCGUGCAAAUUACCCAAUCCCGAUACGGGGAGGUAGUGACAAUAAAUACUGAUACAGGGCUCUUUUGGGUCUUGUAAUUGGAAUGAGAACAAUCUAAAUCCCUUAACGAGGAACAAUUGGAGGGCAAGUCUGGUGCCAGCAGCCGCGGUAAUUCCAGCUCCAAUAGCGUAUAUUAAAGUUGUUGCAGUUAAAAAGCUCGUAGUUGAACCUUGGGCCCGUCCUGCCGGUCCGCCUCACCGCGAGUACUGGUCCGGAUGGGCCUUUCUUUCUGGGGAAUCCCAUGGCCUUCACUGGCUGUGGCGAGGAACCAGGACUUUUACUGUGAAAAAAUUAGAGUGUUCAAAGCAGGCCUUUGCUCGGAUACAUUAGCAUGGAAUAAUAGAAUAGGACGUGCGGUUCUACUUUGUUGGUUUCUAGGACCGCCGUAAUGAUUAAUAGGGAUAGUCGGGGGCGUCAGUAUUCAGCUGUCAGAGGUGAAAUUCUUGGAUUUGCUGAAGACUAACUACUGCGAAAGCAUUCGCCAAGGAUGUUUUCAUUAAUCAGGGAACGAAAGUUAGGGGAUCGAAGACGAUCAGAUACCGUCGUAGUCUUAACCAUAAACUAUGCCGACUAGGGAUCGGGCGGGGUUUCUAUGAUGACCCGCUCGGCACCUUACGAGAAAUCAAAGUUUUUGGGUUCUGGGGGGAGUAUGGUCGCAAGGCUGAAACUUAAAGAAAUUGACGGAAGGGCACCACAAGGCGUGGAGCCUGCGGCUUAAUUUGA